rnacentral:rRNA from 1 species
UACGUAGGGGGCAAGCGUUGUCCGGAAUUAUUGGGCGUAAAGCGCGCGCAGGCGGUCAUGUAAGUCUGGUGUUUAAUCCCGGGGCUCAACCCCGGAUCGCACUGGAAACUGUGUGACUUGAGUCCGGUAGGGGAGUGGGGGAAUUCCUGGUGUAGCGGUGAAAUGCGCAGAUAUCAGAAGGAACACCGGUGGCGAAGGCGCCACUCUGGGCCGGAACUGACGCUGAGGAGCGAAAGCGUGGGUAGCAAACAGG